rnacentral:misc_RNA from 1 species
CUGCGGAGGAUCAUUAUCGUACAAUGGAGGUGCUGGGGUUGUCGCUGACUUUUCAAAGGGUCGUGCACACCUCGGUGCUCUCGUACAAAAUCCAUCUCACCCCUUUGUGCAUCACCGCGUGGGGACCCCUUUUGGCUAGUUCUGAAGGGGGGUUUCCCCGUUUUUAUCCAACCCCCCUUUAAAGGCAUAAGGAAAAAGGCCUAAUUUUUGGCAACCCCCCCCAUUUAAAACACUUUUCACCACCGAACUCCUGGGUUCUGCCACCAAUAAAAAACCCACCAAAUGGCAAUCCUAAUGGUGAAUGGCGAAAUUCAUGGAUCCUCCGAACCUUUAACCCCCCCUGGCCCCCUUGGCAUUUCCGAGGGCACCACCCUUUGAGGUGCCUGACAUCUCAAAACCUCCUUUUUUCUUGAGGGGAAGGCUUUGAACUUUGAGGGCUUUGGCUGGCUCCCUUUGUGAAACCCACUCCCCUGAAAUUGAUUUAUGGGGGUCUGCUGCCCAAUCUGAACUGGUAUAGAUUUUCACUCUUGGGUUUCGAUCGCAUCGGUUUCAAUCGCUAUUGGAGACAUGCCGAUGAUGCAUCGACCACGACUUGACUCAAUCGGUGAACUACCGCUGACUAGCAUCA